rnacentral:lncRNA from 1 species
UCCAUUUACAAUGUUUUGGCCAUUAUAUUAAUUAUUUCCACUGUUCCACAUUAUUUUCAUUCCCUCUAUUCCACGCUAUUUCUGUUUCCAUUGUUCCAAUUACAAGUUCCACAACAUUUACCACAACGUACUACCACACAAUUUAUACAACACAAAAGCUUCACAAUGAUUUUCAUAAGAAUAUAAACUAUCAACUAUUUUACAACUAGCAUAGGCAUUUUCACGAGGAUCACAGUUAGCCAUACAUACCUGGAAUUGAAUAUCCUCUUUAACCUCUACUCCAAUUCAUCAAGCAAUCAAG